rnacentral:rRNA from 1 species
AUUGAACGCUGGCGGCAGGCCUAACACAUGCCAGUCGAGCGGAUGAAGGGAGCUUGCUCCUGGAUUCAGCGGCGGACGGGUGAGUAAUGCCUAGGAAUCUGCCUGGUAGUGGGGGAUAACGUCCGGAAACGGGCGCUAAUACCGCAUACGUCCUGAGGGAGAAAGUGGGGGAUCUUCGGACCUCACGCUAUCAGAUGAGCCUAGGUUGGAUUAGCUAGUUGGUGGGGUAAAGGCCUACCAAGGCGACGAUCCGUAACUGGUCUGAGAGGAUGAUCAGUCACACUGGAACUGAGACACGGUCCAGACUCCUACGGGAGGCAGCAGUGGGGAAUAUUGGACAAUGGGCGAAAGCCUGAUCCAGCCAUGCCGCGUGUGUGAAGAAGGUCUUCGGAUUGUAAAGCACUUUAAGUUGGGAGGAAGGGCAGUAAGUUAAUACCUUGCUGUUUUGACGUUACCAACAGAAUAAGCACCGGCUAACUUCGUG